CACAAAAAUGGUCAGAGGUCUGGAGCACUUCUGCUAUGAAGAGAGGCUUAGAAGGGAAGGCUCUGGAGACAGCUUAUAGCAGCCUUCCAUUCCCUAAAGG